CGCACACACACUUUUCAGGAGAGAAAGACGUGUGCAGAGAGACAGGAGUCCGACGGAGAGAGAGAGAGAGAGCGAGAGAGAGAAAGGAGAUCCCAGUGGAGCAGAUGUCAAAGAAGGAUCCCAGUAUCACAUAUCGGUUAGAUGACCAAGGCAGAGCCCACAUGACAUGACAGCUAAAGCUCGGAUCGCGAGGAUAUUGCAGGGGGAUUCAGUGGACCACACCUGUGCACUGAUUUUCUUUACCAUCUGCAACUUGACCACCCAGUCCACAUUCAUGCAAAUUGAGCAAGGGGCAAAGAAGCAGCUGUGAAGAGCCUGGAAGGUCCCCCCUUCACUUCGCCUCUUACCUGUGUCACCGCUGCCCGGCGGCACCAUCAAAGGUGCAUCAGACGUCUACUUUGGCACCUUCUUACCUGUGGCGUAGUUCUACUUCUUGCCGGCUAACGCACCUCCACCAUCACCCUCCCCUCAUCCCUCCAGCUCCUCAAGGCAUCUGUCACUCACUUGUCAUUUUUUUCAUCAGCUCCUGCUUUCCCCUUUGAUUUCUCAGCGAAGGUGGGAAAGGAACCAUCCGAGCGAAAAUGGAACCUUCUUCCAGGUUUGGCAGCUGCAACAGAUGACACAUCAGAGCCAUCUUGUACUAAAACAGAUUAUUCAAAACGUUAGGAAAAAAUUUUAGUUUUCACCUUUAACCAAAGUUUUGUAUGUAUUGUCAAUAUGGCAUGCCACAAUGCUAAAGGUAAAAGUUGAUUGCAUUUAUAUUCUGUAGAUAUCUUGUCAGACUUCUAAUGUUUUAGCCCAUUUUAGUCCAACACUGAGUCCAACAAUCUGAGAGUUGCUCUACCAAAUGUAGAGUGCAUACUGUUUCACAACAUUUAUUUAACCUGAAAUGUGAUCUGUAACCAAAUACUAACCAAAUGUUGACACCCAGAGGCUUUCUGUCAGGGACCAUCAAAUGAAGAGGUUACCUUGGUGUGAAUACUUUUAGAAUAAUAACUGUAUCACUUUGCUAUUUAUUUACAUAAAGGGCUCAUUUAGAAUGGUCUUUGUUACACUAGUCAGUUAAGUCAUUUUAUAACAUGAAUAUGUACAAUAAUAAAUGUCUUGAUCAAAUCUUGCAGUGAAAUUUUACUGAAGUUACACAAAAUGCUGAAACCUAAACAAAAGAGGAAGUCAAGUUUGAUCUCAAGUACAAGAAUAUCAAACUGGAGUAUUGACUUUUCUACUUUUCUGCUUUGUAUUGUUUGAUGAUCUAAAAAACAAAGAUCAUCACCUGGACAUUUUAUAUUUAUAGAGAUUUUGAGUAUGUUGUUCAUUCACUUUUAGGAGGUUUUUAUUUAAUUUGCAA